rnacentral:rRNA from 1 species
GUGUCAGCAGCAGCGGUAAUACAGAGGGUGCGAGCGUUACUCGGAAUUACUGGGCGUAAAGCGUGCGUAGACGGUUACGUAAGUCGGAUGUGAAAGCCCCGGGCUCAACCUGGGAAUUGCAUUCGAGACUGCGUAGCUAGGAUGCGGAAGAGGGAAGCGGAAUUUCCGGUGUAGCGGUGAAAUGCGUAGAUAUCGGAAGGAACACCAGUGGCGAAAGCGGCUUCCUGGUCCAGCAUCGACGUUCAGGCACGAAAGCGUGGGGAGCAAACAGGAUUAGAUACCCUAGUAGUCC